CUCAGUCCCUUUCACUAGUUGUGAACCUUUGAUUGUUCUUGUGGGUUUUCUCCCACCACAUACUCAGACGUCGUUUGACUGCAUCUACGUAUUUUCCUGUGCCGAAUCCAAGCGCUUCCUCUAGAGAUGGGGCUUCUAUCGUAUGUGUCAUCUUCGUACAUUCCACUACGAUGUGUGAUAUUGUUUCUCGGCUUUCUCCACAGACGGCGCAGUUGAGGUCCAUAUCUGUUCCGUCCGGCUGUGGCUUUGAUUCAGAGUCCGGCUCUGGCUGCGUGGUUUCCCCACUGAUCUCUAUGUAUAAAGGCUGGAUCGCGCAUGGGAGAGGGGCUCGUGGGGGAGAGGCGUGCCUUCGGGCCGCCAUGUUGGUGGGCCCUAAAGUGCUGUGUGCGCCCAUAGAAAACAAUGGGAGGCAACAGAGAUUGCGCGGUUGUGCCAAACUGAAUGUCCUUCUCCAGCGCUCAUAUGCUUUUGUUGGAUACAACUGCAGCGUGAGAAAAGUUUGUCAUGCUUGUUAUGUGGAGCAUGUUCGAAAAAAUGCAGCUCCACAUAUGGUCUUCAAAUUGCAACAGGACUAUUUGGAGCUUGAAACAGUUGUGAUUUUGUCAUCUUGGCCCUCGUGUACCCAGUCUGUGAAACGCAAACAAAAAAGUCUAACACGAUAUGCUUUUGUAAUGAAGAUCACUGAUGAUGAGUAAAGAGAAUAUACGAGUUCAAGUUUA